GGCUUAGAGUUUGAUCAUGGCUCAGGAUGAACGCUAGCGGCAGGCUUAACACAUGCAAGUCGAGGGGCAUCAUUGGAGUAGCAAUACUUCAGAUGGCGACCGGCGCACGGGUGCGUAACGCGUAUGCAACCUACCUUUAACAGGGGGAUAACACUGAGAAAUUGGUACUAAUACCCCAUAACAUCGCAGACGGCAUCGUUUGCGGUUGAAAACUCCGGUGGUUAGAGAUGGGCAUGCGUUGUAUUAGCUGGUUGGUGGGGUAACGGCUCACCAAGGCAACGAUACAUAGGGGGACUGAGAGGUUAACCCCCCACAUUGGUACUGAGACACGGACCAAACUCCUACGGGAGGCAGCAGUGAGGAAUAUUGGUCAAUGGACGCAAGUCUGAACCAGCCAUGCCGCGUGCAGGAUGACGGCUCUAUGAGUUGUAAACUGCUUUUGUACGAGGGUAAACGCAGAUACGUGUAUCUGUCUGAAAGUAUCGUACGAAUAAGGAUCGGCUAACUCCGUGCCAGCAGCCGCGGUAAUACGGAGGAUCCAAGCGUUAUCCGGAUUUAUUGGGUUUAAAGGGUGCGUAGGCGGUUCGAUAAGUUGGAGGUGAAAUGUUAGGGCUUAACCCUGAAACUGCCUCAAUACUGUUGGGCUAGAGAGUAGUUGCGGUAGGCGGAAUGUAUGGUGUAGCGGUGAAAUGCUUAGAGAUCAUACAGAACACCGAUUGCGAAGGCAGCUUACCAAACUAUAUCUGACGUUGAGGCACGAAAGCGUGGGGAGCAAACAGGAUUAGAUACCCUGGUAGUCCACGCAGUAAACGAUGAUAACUCGUUGUCGGCGAUACACAGUCGGUGACUAAGCGAAAGCGAUAAGUUAU
rnacentral:rRNA from 1 species